AGAGACAUGGUGGGGCUAGCAACAGCCAAUCAGAGUCCAGUAGGCUGACAGAUCAGUUCCUUGCUGGGUCUAGAACAAGGUUUCUCUCUGGCUACAGGUGAUUGAAAGAGAGCCACAGUUGGUUUUCUGGCUGUAUUUUGCAUAGCUGGGUUUGCUAACCCUGAGAUAAGGGUGAAGCUAAAGAAGCCUGGUGGCAAGAGGCCCAGGAAAAAGCAGCAACAAAUUGAAUCAAGAAGCAUGUGGCUGCUGUUUACAUAGUCCCUGAAUUGGAAGCUGGAGUAGUUGGCGGGUGGGUUUCCCUACCAGCCACAGGUAAAUCCGAGAAAGGGUUUGUUUGAACUUUGAUGUGGUUGAAAGGCCAAACCACUGAAGACCCCCACCAAAGUUGGCUAGCAGCCUGCUGGGGGCACCAAGGGUCAAAAAGGGCUACAACACUACACCCUGCCACAUGGAGGUGCUCCAGAGCUGCUGUUUGAAAAACAAAACAAACAAACAAAAAACAUAUCCCUUCUUUCAAUAGUAGGGUGCCAGUCUUGUCAUCAGAUCAGUGCAGAUGGACUGUUGCACCCCAGAACCCUCCCCCUGCACACUAAUUUCAAUGGCACACCAUGUGCUCAUAAGGAUCUGGCCUUGUGGAACCCCACUGAAGUCAACACAGCAUUGCAUGGGAUCAAGGGUCUGCCCAGGUGACAACUGCUAUUCCACACAAAUCAAAGGCCAACUAGCUAACAUUUUUAGCCAUCUGCGAUUGCAGUCUUAAACCUACUGCAUCAUCUGGAGGACUUUUCCUCUAGUUCCUUUUAUUCUUUCAUAUUUCAGGUGCUUACUGUUAACUUUCUUUCCUGAUGCUAUAGUAUCUGAUUUAUUUUUACUGUCUAUUGAGAGAGUAAUGUGACAUAUGUAUCCAGUACAUUUAGAAAUCAAAGAAAACAUCAUUGUGUUUGUUACAUCUACCAUAAGUCCUGUAUGCAGUUUGUACCUAAGUCAAAAAUAGCAUAUGUCUACAAAAACUCUUCUGAAAAUGGUGUGCCUAUGUUAUUAGAUCAUACUUCAGUUUGAGAGUGGAAGGAUCUGAAAUCACAGCAGCCACAUCUAUCUGAUUUUUUUUUCUGGUCAGAUAAUAAAAUAAGUAAAGAGCUGUGGAGAACUCAGAAAUUUUGAGUCACCCAGGUUCAUGGAAACCUGCACAGUGUCUCCACCCACUCACUUUUGUUCAUAAAGAUUUGUACCUUCUUAUUUAUUCUUUGCUUUUUGCAUUUAAGCAGCCUCUCAAAAUGAAACUCAUUUAGAACCAGUACAUUGUGCCUGGCUUUAGGGCCAAAAUCAUCUUUAUUUAUUUAUUUAUUUAUUUAUUUUAUUGUUUAAGUUUCUUUUUUUCACCACAAACCCUAAAUUACCAUUUGUUUGCCCAAAACUUAACCUAGGUUUCCUAAGAGGUUUGCAAGCCUUCCAGAGAAGGCCGAAGUUCUGGUUUUCUAACCAAAACCUGACCCUGAUCUUUGGGGUAUAGUUAUGGAAGAUUUUAUAAUCUUUACUGCUGAGACAUUUGUACCAUACCAGCAUGUGUUUUAUGCAGGUAUUUCAGACUUUAUGCUUUCGGCUGAAUACCUUACAUAAGAAAAAAUAAAUUAUUAAAAUGUCUGUAUGUAAUAUUAGUGCACCAAAUGUCACAAU